AGGACGAACGCUGGCGGCGUGCCUAAUACAUGCAAGUCGAACGGUCUUUCUAUGGAAGCUUGCUUCCACUGAGAAGAUAGUGGCGAACGGGUGAGUAACACGUGGGUAACCUGCCCAUAAGAGGGGGAUAACAUCCGGAAACGGGUGCUAAUACCGCAUAGUUUUCUUGAUUGCAUGAUUGAGAAGGAAAGACGGCCUUUGUGCUGUCGCUUAUGGGAUGGACCCGCGGCGUAUUAGUUAGUUGGUGAGGUAACGGCUCACCAAGACGAUGAUACGUAGCCGACCUGAGAGGGUGAUCGGCCACAUUGGGACUGAGACACGGCCCAAACUCCUACGGGAGGCAGCAGUAGGGAAUCUUCCGCAAUGGACGAAAGUCUGACGGAGCAACGCCGCGUGAGUGAAGAAAAGGUUUUCGGAUCGUAAAACUCUGUUGUCAGAGAAGAACAAGUUGGAGAGUAACUGCUCCAGCCUUGACGGUAUCUGACCAGAAAGCCACGGCUAACUACGUGCCAGCCGCAGC
rnacentral:rRNA from 1 species